GAUGAACGCUGGCGGCGUGCCUAAUACAUGCAAGUCGAGCGAACGAACGAGAAACUAGAUACUCUGAUGUAAAAGAAACAAGGGUGAGUCAACCAUGGAACACCAACCCACAAACCUGGGAUAACUUCGGGAAACCGUAGCUAAUACCGGAUAAUAUUUUGAACCGCAUGGUUCAAAAGUGAAAGACGGUCUUGCUGUCACUUAUAGAUGGAUCCGCGCUGCAUUAGCUAGUUGGUAAGGUAACGGCUUACCAAGGCAACGAUGCAUAGCCGACCUGAGAGGGUGAUCGGCCACACUGGAACUGAGACACGGUCCAGACUCCUACGGGAGGCAGCAGUAGGGAAUCUUCCGCAAAGGGCGAAAGCCUGACGGAGCAACGCCGCGUGAGUGAUGAAGGUCUUCGGAUCGUAAAACUCUGUUAUUAGGGAAGAACAUAUGUGUAAGUAACUGUGCACAUCUUGACGGUACCUAAUCAGAAAGCCACGGCUAACUACGUG
rnacentral:rRNA from 1 species